GUUUGAGAUAAACAAAGAACCAGAGUCCUAGAAGGGAUCCAUUAACAUUAAUAAGUUGCAGAGAAGAGGAAUCAGUGGAGGAGAUUGAAAAGAAGCAACCAUUGAAGUAGCAGGAAAAGAGACUGAGGCGAACUAGGAGCCAAAUGAAGAAAGUAUUUUAAGGAAGAGAGAAUGGUCACUGCUACUGAUUAUCAAACAAUAUGAGGACUCAGAACUCAUCAUUGGGUUUAGCAGUCUUGAGGUCAUUGCUGACCUGACAAGAAGAGAUUUCAUGAAUUGUAAUGAAAGCUUGACUGGAAUGGGUUUAAGAGAGAGUAGGAAGACACUAAUGGCAGCUCCUUUGAAGAGUUUUACUGCAAAGGUGAUUGGUUAAACUGUGGUCCAUUCUACCAUGGAAUAUUAUUCAUCAAUAAAAUUAAAUGAACUGGCCAGGCACAGUGUCUCAUGCCUGUAAUCUCAGCACUUUGGGAGGCCAAGGUGGGUGAAUCACGAGAUCAAGAGAUCGAGACCGUCCUGGCGAAACACCGUCUCUAUUGAAAAUACAAAAAUUAGUUGGGCGUGGUGGUGUGCACCUGUAAUCUCAGCCACUCGGGAGGCUGAGGCAGGUUAAUCACUUCAACCAGGAGGGGGAGGUUGCAGAGAGCCGAGAUUGUGCCACUGCACUCCCAACCAGGGGAUAGAGCAAGACUCUGUCUCAAAAAAUAAAAGAAGAGAAACCAACAAACAAACAAACAAAAAGGAAUGAACUACUGACAUAUACAACAAAGUGGACAACGGACUUACCAGUGACUUAUGCUUAGUGAAAAAGUCUAUUACAGAUGUGUGGUUAACAGAAGUUAAGAAUGGAGGAAGGCAAGACGAUGAGUGGAAAGUGAAAGUGGCUUUCAAAGAACAAGCCAGGAGUCCUUGUGGUGAUGGAGAUGUUCUGUAUCUUGACUCUUCAAUGAUAAUCUCCUCAUUGUGGUAUCACUCUGGAUCUACAGGAUGCAGCCACUGGGAAGAAUAUGGGUCUGCGUGAAUCCCGGAGCAGUGUUCUCAGCUGUGACAGCAAAGUGGGAUCACCCGGAGAAACUGGAAGAACAUACCGAAGCCUGUGCCCCACACCUGGGGAUCCUGAUUAUUUUAGGCCCGGCGUGGUGGCUCACGCCUAUAAUCCCAGCACUGUGGAUGGAUCACCUGAGGUCAGGAGGUAACUUACCCAAGUUUUAAGAUGCAAAAGAUCUAUGAGAAGCAAAUUACAGCUGUUACGCUACGAGCACGUUAAGAAACAAAGAAAACAGGGCUACAGAAUUUGGGAGAUGUACUCGUCAGGAUGUGUUGAGCAAUACUGUGGUGACAACCAACCACUAAAAUAUUAGAGACUUAACAUAUUACAAAUUUAUUUCUAACUCAUGGAAAGUUCAGUGUAGAUGUUUCUGGUCACGUCCUCUUGAAUUAUUCUCUUCAAGGUGGUGACACGUGGUCUUUUCAGAAAAACGUCUUGUCUUUAUCAUCUAUUCAUUUAGUCUAUAAAGUGGGAAAUAGAAACACAAAGUGCUGGAAUGUGGAAAAUGGUGACACAGGGAUUCUUUCCAUCUAGUACCUUUGUCAUCCCCUGUGCCACAAUUGUCCUCCACUCUAUGCUUUCCGAACAGCCAACCAAGAAGCAAAAAGAAAACAUGGAGAGGGCAUACCCACUUUUACAUGUUUCUCCCUAGAAGUGACACAUCACUCUGGCAUCAGAGUUCCGCUACUGAGAACUAGAUAUGAGGGGGCUGGAAAAUGUAGUCUAGCUAUGUAUUGAGAGAGAAAAAGGAGUUUGGUGAGCUUCUAGCCCGUCUUCGACAUGGUGAGAACCUGAUAAAAGUACCAGUGAGGAGAAUAACAGAUUGGAUUAAUGGCAGAGAAGCCGAGCUAGAGUGAUAGUGUCAACGUGGCGGCAGUCGUGAAGACCAAGGAAGGAGCAAUCAAACAAUAGCAAUAAAUCAAGGAGACAGACCAAGGUGAGAGCAGUCACACUGAAGCACAGCGGAAGGCCAGCAGAAGUGAAGGCCAUGCACUGGCGAGUGAAGGUCUGAGCCCACAGGUCUCCAUGGAGAAGUGCCUUGAGAUGGUUACAGGAAAAGGAAGUAGUUAGAGGGGCUGGGGAUUAGGCAGGUCUCCUUGUGAGGGCCAGAUAUGCUAACCACUCUCAGAGUUAACCACUUAUUGGCUGUAAUUUCUGGGCCAUCGUAAGGUGAAUUUAUUAGCGAACAUACCCAUAUGUUUGACAUACUAGUGUCUUCAUUAAUUAAACACUGUUUGCCAUAUACUUUAUAUAUAAUCUCUAAUCUUUUACAACAAUGCUACAAUGUACUCAUUUUCCUUAGUUUCCAUGAAGAAACUAAAGUUUAAAAGGUUUAACUUGUUAUACAUUUUUGUGAGUGAAAACGCUGGGAUUUGAACACACAAUCUGGUGAAUCUGACACCAGAUCCCAAGCCACAGUGCAGUCACAUUUAUACUCAUACUCUCUAUGAUAUAUGUGCAUAUAUUUUUAAAUGUAUAUUUUGUGACAGAGUGUAUCAAAUAGCUAUUGUUGCAUAACAAACUUAAAACAGCUCUUUAUUAUUUUUCACAAGUCUAUGGGAUGGCUGAGCAAUUCUGUUGAUGUGAGCUGGGG
ensembl:lncRNA